rnacentral:tRNA from 32 species
AGCAACGUAGUUUAAAUGGUAGAAUUCCCUGGAGUAUACCGGGAGAUGCGGGUGCGAUUCCCGCCGUUGCUA